CCCUUGGCAGUCAGACGGUGAGUGAUAAGAUCCAUCGUCGAAAGGGAAACAGCCCAGACCACCAGCUAAGGCCCCUAAAUGUAUGUUAAGUGGAAAAGGAGGUGGGGUUGCUUAGACAACUAGGAUGUUGGCUUAGAAGCAGCCAUCAUUGAAAGAGUGCGUAAUAGCUCACUAGUCGAGUGACCCUGCGCCGAAAAUGUACCGGGGCUAAACAUACUGCCGAAGCUGUGGAAAACACCUUAGGUGUUUUGGUAGGAGAGCGUUCUAAGGGCGGUGAAGGUCGACUGAAAAGACGGCUGGAGCGCUUAGAAGUGAGAAUGCCGGUAUGAGUAGCGAAAGACAGGUGAGAAUCCUGUCCACCGUAAGACGAAGGUUUCCUGGGGAAGGCUCGUCCGCCCAGGGUUAGUCGGGACCUAAGCUGAGGCCGAAAGGCGUAAGCGAUGGCCAACAGGUUGAUAUUCCUGUACCUGUUAUCUUCAUUUGAGUGAUGGAGGGACGCAGGAGGCAAAAGAAAGCAGACGAAUGGAAAGGUCUGUCCAAGCAGU
rnacentral:rRNA from 1 species